GUGCUCGCUUUGGCAGAAUAUAUAUUAAAAUUGGAGCAAUACAGAGAAGAUCAGCAUGGCCCCUCCUCAACAAUGACAUGCAAAUUCAUGAAGAUUUCAUAUUUUUG